CUUGCACGAGGGCAAGCAACAACGGAAGCGAAAGCUCUAAGCUAAAUACAUUCACCCAUACAUGAUAUUUGAUUGCUUUUGCACCAAAUAAAAGUAAACUAAACUAUUACAAUUCAUGCUUUCAUUCAUAAUUCUUUACAUUUAGCCAUUCGCCCAAAAUUACAUAUUGUUUACAACUUUACAACUUGCUAAAUCAACAAAAGAAGUUGAUACAUGUAUACAAAAAGGGAAUGACUACAAAAUAUAAAAUAGUCCCGGUGGCCGCUAUCUACGGCGCUAAACCCUUGCCUCGGUCCUCCGCCGCCCCGCUCGUACUAGGUCCCGUAGGGUUAGUGGUGUGAGAACUAAACAAAGUUCCCAGUGGGCUUGGCAUCCGACCUCGCCGACUUACCCACUAGGUCUAUCCAGGCAUAAGUAUUUCAAAGGAAGGAAAGUAACCAUUACUAAUGCAACUAAUACUAUGCCUGCAAGAAAGAAGUCAGCGGAUACAUAUAUAAUUCAAUGCGAUAAUGGAAAUGCAUGCAUGCUCCAAUCAUAAAUACGCUUUGGGUCUUUACCCAAUCUUGCCGGUUAACUUGUUAACCCCAAUAACUCAUAACCCAAAUCCCGUCAUAACAGGGGCCUUGAACCAGCCUAGGGACCGUCGUUGGGACCGUCGCUCCCCAAGGUGACUAUUUCCGAAACUCACCGCUUGAGGGGAGCUACCAACCUCAAGCCAAGACGUAUCAUGUCACGCCCCGGACCGGGCGACGAAGCCUCUCGUAGCGUGCGCCAGACCCGGCAUAUGUCAAACAUAUAAGGCAGCUACAAUAAAAGCGGAAGUAAGUAAGUCAAGAAAUAGUUACAAAUAGAGCAGUACAGCUAGUGAUAUCAGGCGGCAAGGUUCUAUCAUCUAAGCAAGAGUAGAGAACGCAUAAACCUAAACACAUAAGAGUAAACAUAGGUAGUUAUUCACAAUAAUUAUCUCCUCAAACAGGAAUACAAGGAUUCCAAAAAGAAGGUGGUCUCUUCUCACACAUACAGGUACAACUCACAACUUCUCACAAAUAAAACUCACGAGAGGUAGAUCCACCUUAUCAAAUCGUCCUCAAAGGAAGCUAGCUCGAAGAACGCUCCUUCUGCGGUCCUAGCCUCUCCCGGCUGUGGAAGGCUCUGAAAGAAAACACAGAAGCCAGAGGGUCGGAACUCAUGAUUUAUAGUCCCAAGUGGGCAAUACUGACUCAGCUCACGUCACACUAGGCGCCCCAACAGAAAAGAGGUAAGUUCUAACAAUAGAGUAACGAGUAAUGCAUAUUUAGACAGCAUAAAUUAGGAUGCAUAAGUAAACGCAAAUUAAACAUAUUUGGCAUUCCUUAAUGCGACUUUAGUCGUGUCAUGAGAUAUAUAUAUUCACAAUAAUAUUCAUGCUUUUACUUUAUACGGAUAUGAAAGUAAUACUUGGUAUGACUACAAUGCAUAUAAGAUGCCAAUAACAAUCUCCUUUAGCUAUACAUGUAAUGUAUGAAUACCCAAAUGUCCACAGACUAUGCUAGAAGUAAGUCAAGUCAAUCCUUCUUACUCUCUGACUAGUAGUUAAUCAUGAACAAACUCAACACGUGGCGAUUUUCAUUUCCAAUUACAGACCUACCAAAGGUUAGUCGCUUGUGCGCCUAAGUGCUGUGGAUAGCCAAACAUCGCCUACUCUUUGGGAUGUGUCAUUGCUCCCACUCAACCCCGUAGGUGCUCAAUACGCACGAUGCGACGUAGUCGAGUAGGCUUACUCGGAGUGCGGCUUGUAUGGGGCGACCCACACAAGCAUGUGACGAGAUUGAGCACAAAAUGGAAAACAAGCAAGUACUGUCUCAAAUACUCUAUCCGCACGUCUCUAACGAUGGCAAGGUCACUAGCAUCCCAAGGAUCUUAGACCCCAAUGUCUCAAGUGAGUCCAACACUCACUUGCUUAGCUGCUCUUAUACCACAUAUAUCCACGACUGAUCAAGCUCAAUUCUUGUUCUUAUGUUCAUUUUAACAUUAAUACUUAUGAUACUAUAGCCUGCGGCCAAUGUCUUUAUGACAUUGGCCCAAUUUCAAUAGUCCAAGUUUCUCAAGCCCUCUCUAGGUUCUAAAAUUCUUAAUUUGUCCCAAUGGCAUAUAGGUUAAAUGCAAGAGGGCAAGAUCCGUUUUCAUAAUAGGCGACCAUGUUCCAAUCUUAACUAGAAUGUUAAGUCUCACAUGCAUCACUGUACCACAUAGGGGUCUAAAAUUUUACUAUUACAUAAAUAUAUGCAUGUUAAGCAUUCUAAACAUUCAUAUUGUAAAAUACAUUUUAUCAUGAAAUUGCGCAUGAAUUUCUAUUUUACGAAACAUCAUUGUGCCAAGUAUGAGCAUUUCUCAUAUCAUAGGCUAGGUCAAACCCACCGAACCGUCGCGUGCUCCUUCGAUUCGCCGAACGGAGUUGUCCACGAGUCUCAAAGUACCCUAAAAGUAAUCAGCGAAGAGAUACGAGAGCAUUACGACCAACCAAGAGAUCAAACAUUAACCUAGAAGCAAAAAGGGCCAAAAUUCACCUCAAGAGGAGAAAUCUCUUCCAAAGCUCCAAAAGAGAGCUAGAACCCUUCCAAUCCAAGCCCAAGGAAGGUUCUAAACCAAUCAAUCUAGCCCCAAAAGCCCUAGAUCAAAAAGCCCCAAAAAUCAACCCUAAUACCCAUUCUAGGGUUUCAAAUGGCAAAAUCUACCAAAACAAGAAUCAAAGGGUAGAAUCAAAGUACUAACCUCUCUAGAUGCCUCAAAACAAGCUCCAAAUCUUCUAGGGUUGAAGAUUGGUCCACCACCAAGCCCUACAAGCAAGCUCCAAGCCUUGCAAAGGUGGGAAAGAGAGAAAGGGGUUGAGCUUCAAGCUCCCUCAAGCAAAUUCCUCUUCUUCUUCUCCUCCUUCUCCUCCUUCUUCUCCUUCUCUCUCUAGAUGGUGUGGGGAGAGUGUGAGAAAUGAGAUGGGAAGAGAGGGAAAUGGCUAAUAAACCCAUCUAAUGUAACAAAAUCCAGUGAGGCCCCUCAAAAAUCCAAUAUUGCAUCAGCCCGGUCUGGGCAGUUUUCGCCCAGAGGGACCGGUCUCUCCCCAGCAGGGACCGGUCUCUCGCUGCGAACCCGAAAAACCAUCGUUCGGGAACCGGUCUCUCCCUGUGCGGGACCGGUCUCUCUCUGCGAAGGCGCGCUCGGGGACCGGUCUCGCCCACCAGGGACCGGUUGCCUCAGGGCUGCCGCAACACUGCUCACUGGUGGACCGGUCUCUCCUUCCAAGGACCGGUCCCCGAGAGUAAAACUCUCAGGACUUAUCCAGAAUUCCAGUUUUCGAACUUUUUAGGUCGGAAAACAUUCUACGACCCUUCACCAAGUGUGGAAAAGCUCGAAACACAUCCAAACACUCGAACCUCGCAAUUUGCAAAGGUCCAGUGUGUUACAUAUCAUGAGUAUCGAUCGAACCCCCAAUUUGAGGAUGCUUAGCCACUAGUUACAAUGCAACCUUCAUGCUAGGUUCUUUACCCAUUUGUUCAUGUCAUUUGCUAAUCAUUUUUGUCACAAUGUCACUAUGGUUAAACCUAUGUUUAACACUUACUUAUCAAUGCCAAUCUAUCUCUCUAUUGUCAAUGUCAUAGGUACUUACCAUUGUCGAGUCCAAGUCUCACAAUCAUGCAAUCUGUAGGGUUCAACAAUACAUGUCCAUCAUGGUUCCAUAUCUUUCUACUUUCCGAUACAUUAGAGAAAACAUAUAACACUACCCAAGUUAACACGUAAAUUAACCCUAAUAUGCAUGAGUGACUUUACAAUCAUAUGUUCAAAAUAGAGAAAUAGACAUAGAAGAGAAUCCAACGAUUCCGGCGUGCACCCCCCACCUUGUGAGGUGGUAGAAAAUGAACGCGACAAUCUCCCGAACUCUAUGAACGAUGAUCCGCGCCCUACAACCCAAAAUGGUGCCAAAUUAGGCCCUUUAUAUAUGAACCACUCUUUAAUAUCCUCGUAAAAUUAAACGAGGUUGUCCCACGUGUUUAGGACACUCCCAAUUAGGUUUCUACAGGGUCAAUUUGUCCCCGAAAAAUCCUAGGGCAAAAGCCCCAAUUUUCAAGCCCUGACAAUGUCAUUUAGGGUUCCCCCAUGAAUCGAUCCCAACCCUAAGCAAACAAUAGCUUAGGAUCAUCUAAGAAGCAUCCUAGUAAUAUUUUUAGACCUUUGGAACCAACCCUAGGGCUCCUAACGCAACUUCCAAGGAUUCACCAUGAGAGCACCUUGAGCUCUCAUGGGUUUCAUGGUGUUCAUGGCUCAAAAGAGACUCUAAAGCCACUAAGGAGCACAAAGCUCCAUAUCCCUAACCCAAAAUCCAAACCCUAGAGGAAAACCUUACAAAACUUACCUCUAGUCCAAGCUCCACCAAGAUUCUUCUUGUCGGAGAGCUCCUAGAACCUCCAAAGCCUCCAAAUCCACCUUCUUCUCCAAGCUCUUCUUCUUCUUCUCCAAGUUCUAGAGGAGUUCUAGAGAGAGAAAGAGAGAAAAUGAGAGGGGAGGAGAGAAAUGGCUGUGGGAGAGAGGGGAUGAGUCAUAUAUAGUGUUGUAACAAUUGCACUUAAGCCCAUCCACUUGUUUCCCAUUGAUCUGCCCAGACUGGGCAUUUUUCGCCUUCGGGGACUGGUCUCCCCGACCAGGGACCGGUUCCCGAACGAUGGGUUUCCAGGACUAAACCAAAAUUUUGGGUUUUUCAGCUGGCGGCGCAGCGGGGGACCGGUCUUUCGCUCAGGGACCAAUCUCUCGAGGACCGGUCUCACCACCAGGGACCGGAUGCCUCAGGAUUUCCUGGCAGGCUACGCGUACGGGGACCGGUCUCUCCUUCAGGGACCGGUCCCCGAGAGCAUAAAAUCUGGGACUUAGCCAGAUUUUGAAAUCUCACUCUCUCGGGUCCCUUUGCACUAUAUAUAUAAGCUCCAACACACUUAGGGCCUAUACCCACUCGUUCAACUCCGCGUCCAGCUCAUUUCGAUGGAACUCGGCACAACUUACGAGGUAUGUGGUAUGUUAUAUUCUCUACCCCUAAAAUUUAGUUUCGUCCGCGAAACUACUUACUCGGAAUUGAAAUCUAUACCUCAACUCAACUAGUCAAAGAGAUGAGGAUGGCGCUCUCGCAUCUCGCUCUCGAGUUCCCACGUUUCUUCCCGAUCGCCGUGUUCACUCCAGUGAAUUUUAACAUACGGAAUUUCGCGAUUCCGUAGUUUCCUUACUUCCCGCUCUACGAUGUAAGCCGGGAACUCUUCAUAUGUCAUAUCCUCCUGAAGCUCUAUCGAUAUAUACGAGAGAAUAUGAUCUGGAUCGUAAACAUACUUGCGGAGUUGGGAUACAUGGAACACGUCAUAUACUCCCGCGAGCCUUGGUGGUAAUGCCAACCUAUAGGCCACCACGCCAACUCGUUCCAAAAUCUCGAAGGGUCCGAUAUAGCGGGAACUUAGCUUCCCGCGUACACCGAACCGCUUAACUCCUCGCAUCGGCGAUACCUUUAGAAAUACGCGCCCUCCAACCGCGAACUCAAUAUCCUUUUGCCGUUUGUCAGCAUAACUCUUGUGCCUUGAUUGCGCCGUCACUAAUCUUUGUCGGGCAAGCCGAACUUUCUCUUCCGCCUCCCGCAGCACGUCAGGGCCAAGAACCAUCUUCUCGCUCACAUCGCUCCAAUGUAUUGGCGAGCGACAUUUCCUACCGUAAAGGGCCUCGAAUGGCGCCAUCGCAAUACUUUCUUGAUAGCUAUUGUUGUACGCGAAUUCCGCCAUCGGUAAGUGAUCGUGCCAUCUGCCCUUGUAGUCAAGUACGCACGCCCGAAGCAUAUCCUCAAGGAUUUGUAUCGUUCUUUCCGAUUGUCCGUCACUUUGAGGAUGGAAUGCCGUGCUAAAAUCGAGCUGUGUGCCCAAUGCAUCUUGUAAGCUCUUCCAAAAUUGAGAUGUGAACCUAGGGCCUCGAUCCGAUAUAAUAGAUGUCGGAACCCCAUGAAAUCUCACCACCUCAUCAAUAUAGACUUGAGCUAACUUGUUUCCCGACCAAGUAGUGUGGAUCGGCAAAAAGUGUGCCGAUUUUGUCAACCCGUCCACAACUACCCAAAUCACGUCAUGUCCACCUUGGGAUUUAGGCAAACCCGUCACAAAAUCCAUUGCGAUGUUCUCCCAUUUCCACACGGGUAUAGGUAGACUUUGUAAUUUUCUCGCCGGAAACCGACGUUUCGCCUUCACUUGUUGGCACGUGAGAUACUGCGCCACGAACUCUCCUAUAUCCUUCUUCAUGACCGGCUACUAAUAAUGCAAUUUCAGGUCUCGAUACAUUUUGGUGCCGCCCGGGUGAACGCUAUAGGGAGAUUGAUGCGCUUCUUGCAUAAUCGCCCUCCGAAGAUUGUCGUCCUUAGGCACGCACCAACGGUCUCGAUAUCGUAGAGUGCCGUCGGUCCCAAUGCCAAAAUCAUCGGCACCACCGGUCUCAACUUUUCCCCGUAUCUUUUGGAGAAAUUCAUCCGAUGCUUGUAAUUCUUUGAUCUUUUCUAACAAGGUCGGUUGCAUUACCAAUGUGGCAAGCGUUUCCGGCACUCCCGACGCCACCACUUCUAGACCAAACCGCUGCAUCUCUUUUGGCAAGGCCGGUUGGGGUGUAAUUUUCGUUGCCAAAUUCUCUGCCGACUUUCGACUUAAGGCAUCGGCCACGACAUUCGCUUUCCUGGGGUGGUAGAGAAUCGUGACAUCAUAAUCUUUGAGCAACUCUAACCACCGCCGCUGUCGCAAGUUUAGCUCCUUUUGGAUGAACAAGUAUUUGAGACUCUUAGGAUCGGUAUAAAUCUCACAAUGCUCCCGAUACAAGUAAUGCCUCCACAAUUUCAGCACGAAGAUAACCGCCGCUAGUUCAAGAUCGUGAGUCGGGUAGUUCUUUUCAUAACUCUUUAGUUGGCGCGAAGCAUAAGCUAUGACUCGGCCGUUUUGCAUUAAGACACAUCCGAGUCUGACGUAUGAAGCGUCACUGUAUACGACAUAACUCUCUCCCGGUGUAGGCAAGGCGAGCACCGGAGUAGAUGUCAGUCUAUUCUUUAGCUCUUCAAGGCUCCGCUCACACUCGGGGCCCCAAACAUACUUCACCCCUUUGUGCGUAAGGCGCGUUAGUGGAGUUGUUAUCUUAGCAAACCCCUCCACGAACCGCCGGUAGUAGCCCGCAAGUCCAAGGAAGCUACGAAUUUUCGCCACACUUGUCGGGCGAGGCCAAUCUUUAAUCGCCUCUACUUUCUUUGGGUCCACUGAGAUGCCUUCUCCGGAAAUAACAUGACCCAAGAAGGUAACCCCCGAAUGCCAAAACUCACAUUUCUUCAAUUUUGCAUAAAGCUUUUCCUUCCGGAGUACCUCCAAUACGAGCCUUAAAUGCUCUUCGUGUUCUUCUUCGGUCCGAGAAUACACCAAUACGUCGUCAAUGAAUACCACGACGCACCGGUCCAAUAGCGGACGGAAGACUCUAUUCAUCAGGUCCAUAAAUGCUGCCGAGGCAUUCGUAAGCCCAAACGGCAUCACCGUGAACUCAUAAUGGCCAUACGGUGUACGGUACGCCGUUUUGUGCACAUCUUUGGGCCGUAUCUUCAAUUGAUGAUACCCCGACUGCAGAUCAAUCUUAGAAUAUACCCUUGACCCUUGCAACUGAUCGAAUAGAUCAUCAAUCCUAGGCAACGGGUACUUGUUCUUAAUCGUCACCUUGUUCAACUCGCGAUAAUCGACGCAGAGUCGAAGUGUGCCGUCCUUCUUCUUUACAAAUAGCACUGGAGCUCCCCACGGAGACACGCUCGGCCGCACAAAGCCUUUAUCGAGCAAGUCUUGCAACUGGGCUUUUAGCUCCUUUAACUCUACCGGUGCCAUUCUAUUCGGAGCCUUCGAAACUGGCGCUGCCCCAGGAAUCAAGUCAAUGACAAACUCGACUUCCCGGUUCGGGGGCAGUCCCCGUAACUCCGCCGAAAACACGUCUGGAUACUCGCAUACGACUUGGAUAUUUUCUAAUUCCGGAUGUUCCUUUUGAGGGUCUACGAUGGUCGCCAAGUAAGCUUUGCAACCACCCUUGAUCAUUUUCUUCGCCCUCACCGACGAUAUGGUCGCCGCGAAACGCGCACCUUUACACGCCUUAUAGACCAUCUCCUCUUGGUUAGGCUCACGAAAAGUGAUAACCUUCCUUUCGCAAUCGAUAACCGCGUAAUACUUGGAGAGCCAAUUGGUGCCCAAGAUUACGUCAAAUCCCCACAAUUGCUUCAGCACUAACAAGUCGAUCAGCAUGAUCCAAUUGCCUAUCUAUACUGGACAGUCCAGACAUUCAUCAUGCACAUGAAAUGUAAGCCCAGGUGCUGUCACCGUCCAAUAAUCCUCAUAAUGCGUGACCUUUAUGUCAUGAGCUAGUGCAAAUGAUGUUGUAAUGAAUGAUUGAGAUGCACCCGUAUCGAAUAUAGCUCUAGCUCUAGUGCCUCUGAUAAGAAUAAUACCUGCCACGACGUCGUCGGGAAUGGUAAUAGGCGGCUCCUCCACUUGAGUGGCAAAUACCCGCCCACUAGGUGCUCGGGAGGCCUCCGGCUGACGAGGCACCGAUGAUCGUCCAGCAGAUACCGCGGGUGGCAGUCCCGCCAGCUGUCGCUAAGUGUACUGAACCGAGGUUGAGGACGGGGCUGGGGAUGCGCCGCCCGGGCAUUCUCGGCCGAUAUGUCCCGGUUGGCUGCAUCGGUAACACCGCCCCUCCCGCUGUGGGCAACCAGCAACCCGGUGGUCUCCGCCACAUAUCAUGCACGGGUAGGUAAUCUGGCUCCUUCCACCCUGCCACUGUGAUCGCUGAGGUCGCGGGGGUCGCUUAGAACUCGACUGACCCGCCGAUCCACCAGCAGGUCGCUUCUUGGUCCUCUCCCUUUCCCUAUCCUUCUCCAACGUAUCGCGCUCAUCCCACGCAAUGGCAUUCCCGCGCUCCACCCAAAGCGCGCGGUUAAGAACCUCCUCAUAGGUCUUCAGGCGGAAUGCAUGAAUGACCUUGAAAAUCUCGGGUCGCAACCCGCGCUCAAACACCUCCGCUCGGUCCCUAUCACCGUGAACCAAGCCCGGCACGCAGUUAAUCAUGUGCGUGAAUUCCCUUUCGUACUCCCGCACCGUUCGGCUUCCUUGCCUUAGCUUCCGAAAAUCCUCCUUGAUUUUUCUUUUGUCACUCUCGGGGAAAUACUCCAUAAGAAGCAUCUCCCGAAACGCCUCCCAAGAAAUAAAAGCGUGCUCUAGCGAGUGAUUUCUCUUCGCCUGAUUCCACCACAACCCAGCCGACCCAUCAAAGCAAUGAGCCGCAAGGUGAACCUUAUCCUUCUCGAGGGUAUAGAUAUCCUUGAACAACGCCUCCAUCGCGGCUAACCAAUUCUCCGUCACCUACGGAUCCUUCACAUUGCCGACAAAGGUCGGAGGGUUGAAUCGCUUGAAUGCCGUCAGUGCCGCCAACGUACGCUCCUGCUCGGCCUCAAGUACAUCGGGAACAGGAGCCGAUGAACCCGAUACCGUCGGAGGAAUAGCCAUCACCGGUGCUGCCGCCACCGCAGGAGGUGGUGCUACAGGAGCAGCAGGUGCAGGUGGAUCUCUCGGCACAGAUGCCGCCGCUGUCGCCUGUCGCGCCAUCAUCUCAUAGAGCUGUCCAAUCUGCUCCCCUUGUUGCCGCAUAGCCCCAGCCAAAGCCGUCAUCUGGGCUCGCAGCUCGCGCACUUCAUCCGAUCCCGUCUGCUCGGGCACUUCAUCGGGCAGUGCCGAAGCGGCUCUACGCGUGUAGUGUCUCGGGGACAUUGUUCCUGAAACGCAUCACACGCAUUAGUACUCGACACACGUGACUCUUACACGUUCCAAGUAACUACCCAAUUAAGCGAAAGCACAAGCCUAAUUAUUUUCACUCUCGGGGUUAUGUGGUCGGCCGCCCCACAAGGUCCCUUAAGUAGACAAUAAUUAAGCCUUUUAGUCCAUCUCUACUUCCUUCUAGAGAAGUGUUAUCGUUGACCCAAUCACUCGUUUUUGCAUAAACCAAGUCCACGUUAAACGUUUCCUAAGCUCCUAAGGUCUCCAAUCCCUAGGGUUCCUGGGUCAUUCCUAGACUUUUGCUUUCCACUUCUCUCUGAUACCAUUAUAUCUGUCACGCCCCAAUCCCCGCCAAUUUGGUCGGGUUCGGGUCACGCCGACAGACGCCGAACGGACAGAGCCUCCCCUGUCCGUCCAAGGCUCUAAACCAUGUAUAGUGAAGCAAUCAAACAAUGUGAUUAACAUUUAUACAAGGCUUGCACGAGGGCAAGCAACAACGGAAGCGAAAGCUCUAAGCUAAAUACAUUCACCCAUACCUGAUACUUGAUUGCUUUUGCACCAAAUAAAAGUAAACUAAACUAUUACAAUUCAUGCUUUCAUUCGUAAUUCUUUACAUUUAGCCAUUCGCCCAAAAUUACAUAUUGUUUCCAACUUUACAACUUGCUAAAUCAACAAAAGAAGUUGAUACAUGUAUACAAAAAGGGAAUGACUACAAAAUAUAAAAUAGUCCCGGUGGCCACUAUCUACGGCGCUAAACCUUUGCCUCGGUCCUUCGCCGCCCCGCUCGUGCUAGGACCUGUAGGGUUAGUGGUGUGAGAACUAAACAAAGUUCCUAGUGGGCUCGGCAUCCGACCUCGCCGACUUACCCACUAGGUCUAUCCAGGCAUAAGUAUUUCAAAGGAAGGAAAGUAACCAUUACUAAUGCAACUAAUACUAUGCCUGCAAGAAAGAAGUCAGCGGAUACAUAUAUAAUUCAAUGCGAUAAUGGAAAUGCAUGCAUGCUCCAAUCAUAAAUACGCUUUGGCUCUUACCCAAUCUUGCCGGUUAACUUUGUUAACCCCAAUAACUCAUAACCCAAAUCCCGUCAUAACAGGGGGCCUUGAACCACCCCUAGGGACCGUCGUUGGGGACCUCGCUCCCCAAGGUGACUAUUUUCGAAAACUCGCCGCUUGAGGAGGAGCUACCACCCUCAAGCCAAGACGUAUCAUGAGUAUUGAUCAAAUCCCCAACUUGAGGAUGCUUAGCC
rnacentral:lncRNA from 1 species